CCCACAAUUUCAUCAACAUGUUUGUUUUCAUGUUAACAUUUAAAAUUCUAAAUCGAGUCAAAAAUCCAACAGAUGUCUUACAGAAACUGGUUUUUUUUUUCUUUGUAGGUGCUUCUUCCUUGGAACAAGAGGAUCUCAUGAUUUGACAGAAUAUGUUUUGAAUACCCAAGGAGGGCCUCCUUUUGAAGGCUUACACUGCAGCGUCUCUCAAGAUUUGAGUUUACUCAGAAAAGAAAGGAAACAAGAAUGGCCUGCACACAGAAAGAUAAUGGCCCAUUUUGCAGUCAAAAGGUACCGAUAAAUGGUGUUCUCACUUCUCAGAAACUUGUAUACAUGUAUUCAUAGUAGUAUUGUAAGUAAGGGCCAGAAGGUAGAAACACCUCAAGG
rnacentral:lncRNA from 1 species